AUUGAACGCUGGCGGCAUGCCUUACACAUGCAAGUCGAACGGCAGCACGGGGGCAACCCUGGUGGCGAGUGGCGAACGGGUGAGUAACACAUCGGAACGUACCCAGUUGUGGGGGAUAACCAGUCGAAAGACGGGCUAAUACCGCAUGAUCUGGUGACAGCAAAGCGGGGGAUCGCAAGACCUCGCGCGAUUGGAGCGGCCGAUGUCCGAUUAGCUAGNGGUGGGGUAAAGGCCCACCAAGGCUUUGAUCGGUAGCUGGUCUGAGAGGAUGAUCAGCCACACUGGGACUGAGACACGGCCCAGACUCCUACGGGAGGCAGCAGUGGGAAUCUUGCGCAAUGGGCGAAAGCCUGACGCAGC
rnacentral:rRNA from 1 species